rnacentral:rRNA from 1 species
AUUGAACGCUGGCGGCAGGCCUAACACAUGCAAGUCGAACGGUAACAGGAAACAGCUUGCUGUUUCGCUGACGAGUGGCGGACGGGUGGGUCAUGUCUGGGAAACUGCCUGAUGGAGGGGGAUAACUACUGGAAACGGUAGCUAAUACCGCAUAACGUCGCAAGACCAAAGAGGGGGACCUUCGGGCCUCUUGCCAUCGGAUGUGCCCAGAUGGGAUUAGCUAGUAGGUGGGGUAACGGCUCACCUAGGCGACGAUCCCUAGCUGGUCUGAGAGGAUGACCAGCCACACUGGAACUGAGACACGGUCCAGACUCCUACGGGAGGCAGCAGUGGGGAAUAUUGCACAAUGGGCGCAAGCCUGAUGCAGCCAUGCCGCGUGUAUGAAGAAGGCCUUCGGGUUGUAAAGUACUUUCAGCGGGGAGGAAGGGAGUAAAGUUAAUACCUUUGCUCAUUGACGUUACCCGCAGAAGAAGCACCGGCUAACUCCGUG